rnacentral:lncRNA from 1 species
CUGUCUUGGCGGCUUUGUCUUUACACCGCAGGGGGUUGAGGACUCCGGUGCUUCAAGGUCCCGCAGCGCAGCUGAGGGCGGGGCCUGGGCUCAGAGUGGCCUGGGAUCGGAGACAGAUCCCUUGCAGUGAACAUACACAUAAUUUUCAAAGCAACCAAUAAGAAAGAAAUGUUUAGAUUCACUCAAAAAUGUCCCAGGUUCAUCAAGAUUAUGUCAGAGUCAUCAAUGGACAGGAGAUUCCUGGAGCUGUAACAUAUGGUCUCUUAUGACUUUUCUCUUACAACUUUCCCUGCUUGGGCUUUAUAGUUUCUACCCUUUCCCAAGAGCAGCAGAAAAUGAACAAGUUCAAGGUGAGUCAUUUAUUUAGCCUUUGUUUCACUUUGUGUAUGUGUGUUUAAUGUGUAUAUGUGUUUUUAAGAGAGCUCAGGUAUUUAACUAGAAAAGGAGCUAUGUUACAGAUCAUCUUCAAGGAAAACACUGCUCUCAAAGUAUGGUCUUAAGACCCCUGCGAACCCUAAGACCCUCUCAAGAGGUCUUUAAAUUCAAAACUCUAGUGCUAAGAUGCUAAUUGCACUGCUGGUAUGAAAGCAAUGGUGAUAGGUUCCUGCCUAUCUACUAUUGGCAUUAAUUAAGAUAAGGACACCUAAUUUAUAAUCAUUGUAUUUCUCCAAGUAAAAACCUGCCAUUUACUUAAGGAUAACCUUAAUAAAAUAGUAAAAAUUAUUAAUUUUAUUAAAUAU